rnacentral:rRNA from 1 species
UACAGAGGUCCCGAGCGUUGUUCGGAUUCAUUGGGCGUAAAGGGUGCGUAGGCGGCGGGGUAAGUUUGAUGUGAAAUCCCGGGGCUCAACCCUGGAAUUGCAUUGAAUACUACCUUGCUAGAGUACCGGAGAGGAAACUGGAAUUUACGGUGUAGCAGUGAAAUGCGUAGAGAUCGUAAGGAAGACCAGUGGCGAAGGCGGGUCUCUGGACAGUUCCUGACGCUGAGGCACGAAGGCCAGGGGGAGCAAACGGG